GGAGUUACCUGUAACUCAGCCAGUGGCUUGGAAAAGACAGAUGAAUACAGAAAAAGUGUAUGCUUUGUUUUCAGAAAACCACUUCUUUUUUUAACCCAUGCUGUGAAGCCCCCUGAGAUCUACGGAUGAAGAGUGGUAUGGAAAUUUAAUAAAAUGAUGAUGUUGAUGAUGAUCACGCUAAAACCUUUCAUACAUAUGGUGGUUUCCUGCAGUCAUCAUUUGGCAUUGCAUCAAAUAACUGGGAGCAUUGAAAAAUGAUAGUAUCACCAACAAUGUUCUACUAACCUUCAAAAUUUAAGGAACCCUGUUUUAUUUCAGUCCAUAAUUAAGAGAAGAAUGACUAAAAGGAAGUCAGAGAGGGAUCCAUUAUUCAUACUCGCUGCCCUUGAAUGAAAAGAGUAAGACAUUAUGCCACAAUUGGAAAAGGUCAGUGGAUUCACUGCAACAGUGCCAUGGUGGGAACUAUGUGUCCAUACAAAUGGAGGUGGGGGCCUAGAGUAUCUUCCCACAAUGCUGAAACUUGAAAGGAGUUACAAUUUUAAAAUGACCAGACCAGAAUUGAAAUCAGGGCAAGCCGAUUCUAUUGAAUAUAAACAGAGCAGCAACUGAGAGACCCACUGGAAAUUUACCUCUUCAUGCAUGGUUUGGGAAGCUGAAAAAGCAAACUGUUGUCUUUGCUGGAUCAGAGCAAAUAUGUGCAGGAACUGAAAAUGUCAGCAAUCAAGCAUGCUAGCUUCUAAUGUUCUAAAGGAAUUUUACAUAGUUCUUAAUAGUAAAGACCUUCAUAUUCCACAAUGA